ACCUUAAAACUAGCCUAACAUCCUCACUUAAACUUAACCUUAUCAAUUACACCCUACACCCAGCACUAAACCAAAACAUUUUAUACUUUCAAGUAUGGGUGACAGAACAAAACCCCCAGCGCAAUAGAUUAUGUACCGCAAGGGAAAGUUGAAAAAGAAAUGAAACAAAUCAUCAAAGUACUAAAAAGCAGAGAUUUAAUCUCGUACCUUUUGCAUCAUGAUUUAGCUAGAAAAACUAGGCAAAAAGACCUUAAGUCUACCUUCCCGAAACUAAACGAGCUACUUCGGAGCAGCAUAUUAGAGCCAACCCGUCUCUGUGGCAAAAGAGUGGGAAGACUUCCAAGNUAGCGCCGACAGACCUAACGAGUUUAGUGAUAGCUGGUUGCCCAAAAAAAGAACUUAAAUUCUGCAUUAAUUUCUUUAAUACCAAACAAGAAAUUCCUAUCAAGGUAUAACAUAAAAAUUAAUAGUUAUUUAAAAGAGGUACAGCCCUUUUAAAUUAAGACACAACUUUUAAAGGUGGGUAAUGAUCAUAUUCAUUAAGGACUUUCUCCCCAGUGGGCCUAAAAGCAGCCACCUGCAAAGUAAGCGUCAUAGCUCCAGACCCCUAACAACCUAUAAUCCAGAUAAUACCUCAAAACCCCCUUACUACAUAUUGGGUUAUUUUAUUAAACCUAUAAAAGAACUAAUGCUAAAAUGAGUAAUAAGAGGCUAAACCUCUCCUGACACCAGUGUAAGUCAGAAAGAAUUAAAUCACUGACAAUUAAACGAUCCCAGACUGAGGGAAUAAUACUAAUACAUCAUUAACAAGAAAACCUUAUUUAACUAUUCGUUAACCCUACACAGGAGUGUCUAAAGGAAAGAUUAAAAGAAAAUAAAGGAACUCGGCAAACAUAAACUCCGCCUGUUUACCAAAAACAUCGCCUCUUGCUACAACACUAUAAGAGGUCCCGCCUGCCCUGUGACAAUGUUUAACGGCCGCGGUAUUUUGACCGUGCGAAGGUAGCGUAAUCACUUGUCUUUUAAAUGAAGACCCGUAUGAAAGGCACCACGAGAGUUUAACUGUCUCUAUUUUCUAAUCAAUGAAAUUGAUCUUCCCGUGCAGAAGCGAGUAUAUUAACAUUAGACGAGAAGACCCUAUGGAGCUUCAAACACUUAAAUUAAUUAUGUAUAACCCAUCCCUCUACGGACUUAAAAAUAACACAAUAUUCCUAAUUUAAUUGUUUUUGGUUGGGGCGACCAAGGGGAAAAACAAAUCCCCCUUAUCGAUUGAGUACUUAGAUACUUAAAAACUAGAAUGACAAUUCUAAUUAAUAAAAUAUUUAUCGAAAAAUGACCCAGGACUUACCUGAUCAAUGAACCAAGUUACCCUAGGGAUAACAGCGCAAUCCUUUCCCAGAGUCCCUAUCGACGAAAGGGUUUACGACCUCGAUGUUGGAUCAGGACAUCCUAAUGGUGCAACCGCUAUUAAGGGUUCGUUUGUUCAACGAUUA
rnacentral:rRNA from 1 species